AGCAUACAAGGCAUACGGCUCAGUAACGCGUAGUCAACCUAACCUAUGGACGGGAAUAACCUCGGGAAACUGAGAAUAAUGCCCGAUAGAACAUUAUGCCUGGAAUGGUUUAUGUUCCAAAUGAUUUAUCGCCGUAGGAUGGGACUGCGGCCUAUCAGUUUGUUGGUGAGGUAAUGGCCCACCAAGACUAUUACAGGUACGGGCUCUGAGAGGAGUAGCCCGGAGAUGGGUACUGAGACACGGACCCAGGCCCUAUGGGGCGCAGCAGGCGAGAAAACUUUGCAAUGUGCGAAAGCACGACAAGGUUAAUCUGAGUGGUUUCUGCUAAAGAAACCUUUUGUCAGUCCUAGAAACACUGAUGAAUAAGGGGUGGGCAAGUUCUGGUGUCAGCCGCCGCGGUAAAACCAGCACCUCAAGUGGUCAGGAUGAUUAUUGGGCCUAAAGCAUCCGUAGCCGGCUCUGUAAGUUUUCGGUUAAAUCUGUACGCUCAACGUACAGGCUGCCGGGAAUACUGCAGAGCUAGGGAGUGGGAGAGGUAGACGGUACUCGGUAGGAAGGGGUAAAAUCCUUUGAUCUAUUGAUGACCACCUGUGGCGAAGGCGGUCUACCAGAACACGUCCGACGGUGAGGGAUGAAAGCUGGGGGAGCAAACCGGAUUAGAUACCCGGGUAGUCCCAGCUGUAAACUAUGCAAACUCAGUGAUGCAUUGGCUUGUGGCCAAUGCAGUGCUGCAGGGAAGCCGUUAAGUUUGCCGCCUGGGAAGUACGUACGCAAGUAUGAAACUUAAAGGAAUUGGCGGGGGAGCACCACAAGGGGUGAAGCCUGCGGUUCAAUUGGAGUCAACGCCGGA
rnacentral:rRNA from 1 species